GAAACUCUAGCUUAAUUAAAGCAUCUGAGUUGCAUUCAGGAAAUGCAGGGUAAUGUCCUGCGAGUUUUA
rnacentral:tRNA from 1 species